GGAAGCCACAAACGUCUCGUCACUGAAAAAUACUGUCUGCUGAAAAUCUGUUAAAAUGGUUAAAACAGUGUACAAGUCCCCCUAGACUCCUAUGAAAAGGACACUCCAUCAUGAGGCCUCUGAUAGUGACCUGAGUUACUGCCCUGAUGACACAGAUGGCUUCAUCAACAAUAACAGGCCCUCCCAGUCAACACCACCUCAUAAGAUAGCCUGCUUCAGUUGUUCGAGCGAUGUCCAGUUUGCAGCCAAACAUGCAUACAUGACUUCGCUGUCAGCAUUAAGUUGAAUGGAACAGUCAGCCUCAUGUUGGCAAGUAUCCGGCCGGCAACCUUCACCUGUCAGCGGCAGCAGCUUUCAUUACUUUCAUACAUUUGAUAAACUAAUUGUGAAACAAAGUGUAUGUAAACGAACUUAAUUUGUUGCUU